UCGGGGUGUGGCUCAGUUUGGUAGAGCGCUUGGUUCGGGACCAAGAGGCCGGAGGUUCAAAUCCUCUCACGCCGACCCA
rnacentral:tRNA from 1 species